rnacentral:misc_RNA from 1 species
CUCUCUCUCUCUCUCUCUCUACAUGUGUGUGUGCAUGCAUGUGCAUUGAACAGUGACCCUUAAGAAUUUCUUUGUGCUGAAGCAUUGGAGCGUGUGUGCAUCAUGUGGUGCUCAGUGAUUGGUGUGGGAUAUGGGACCAAAAUGGCCAAGUCAUCAUGAUCUGUAAGGGACUGUGUUAUUAAGGCGAAAGGCAACAUUAAGGUGAUAGGAUAUCAAAUGGCCUUAGGCGAGAGGCUAGAGGUGAGUCGAGGGCUUUUUUAAAGUGGCGAGGGCUUUUUUAAAGCGAGG